rnacentral:rRNA from 1 species
ACAUAUAGCCAUAGCACCCUGGGAACGCCCAGUCUCAUGUGACCUGGGAAGCUAAGCAGGGUCGGCCCCGGUCAGUGCUUGGAUGGGAGACCACAAGGCCAGUGGGGCCUGGGGUGGGUU